AGGGCACCACCAGGAGUGGAGCCUGCGGCUUAAUUUGACUCAACACGGAGAAACUUACCCGGCCUGGACACUGGAAGGAUUGACAGAUUGAGAGCUCUUUCUUGAUUCAGUGGGUGGUGGUGCAUGGCCGUUCUUAGUUGGUGGAGCGAUUUGUCUGGUUAAUUCCGAUAACGAACGAGACUCUAGCCUAUUAAAUAGGCUCUCGGCUUUUAAACGCCGGGAGGACUUCUUAGAGGGACAGGUGGCGGUUCAGCCGCACGAAAGAGAGCAAUAACAGGUCUGUGAUGCCCUUUGUUGUCCGGGGCCGCACGCGCGCUACACUGAAGAGAUCAGCGUGCUUUACGUUCCUGCUCCGACCGGAGUGGGGAACCCAGUGAACCUUCUUCGUGAUUGGGAUAGAAGAUUGUAAUUAUUCUUCUUGAACGAGGAAUUCCCAGUAAAUGCGAGUCAUAAGCUCGCGUUGAUUACGUCCCUGCCCUUUGUACACACCGCCCGUCGCUACUACCGAUUGAACGAUUU
rnacentral:rRNA from 1 species